UUAUAUGUAAAACUUAAGACUUCCCCUUUUUCUAAUAGAAGGAUAAAAACCAUAUUCGCCAAAACUACAAUACACUAAUAUAAAAAGACAAAGAUGUAAUAAAAU
rnacentral:sRNA from 1 species